rnacentral:rRNA from 1 species
GAUGAACGCUGGCGGCGUGCCUAAUACAUGCAAGUCGAGCGAACAGAUAAGGAGCUUGCUCCUUUGACGUUAGCGGCGGACGGGUGAGUAACACGUGGGUAACCUACCUAUAAGACUGGAAUAACUCCGGGAAACCGGGGCUAAUGCCGGAUAACAUUUAGAACCGCAUGGUUCUAAAGUGAAAGAUGGUUUUACUAUCACUUAUAGAUGGACCCGCGCCGUAUUAGCUAGUUGUUAAGGUAACGGCUUACCAAGGCAACGAUACGUAGCCGACCUGAGAGGGUGAUCGGCCACACUGGAACUGAGACACGGUCCAGACUCCUACGGGAGGCAGCAGUAGGGAAUCUUCCGCAAAGGGCGAAAGCCUGACGGAGCAACGCCGCGUGAGUGAUGAAGGUCUUCGGAUCGUAAAACUCUGUUAUUAGGGAAGAACAAAUGUGUAAGUAACUGUGCACGUCUUGACGGUACCUAAUCAGAAAGCCACGGCUAACUACGUG